rnacentral:rRNA from 1 species
GACAGAGGUGCCAAGCGUUAGGCGGAAUCACUGGGCUUAAAGCGUGUGUAGGCGGACUUGUAAGUACCUUGUGAAAUCCCACGGCUCACCCGUGGAACUGCUGGGUAUACUGCGAGUCUUGAGCCACUUAGGGGCUGUCGGAACAGGCGGUGGAGCGGUGAAAUGCGUAGAUAUCGCCUGGAACGCCAAAGGUGAAAACAGACAGCUGGGAGUGUGCUGACGCUGGAGACACGAAAGCCAGGGGAGCGAACGGG